rnacentral:sRNA from 1 species
GAGAUAACAGAACUUGGUGGCUGAUUGGAGGCAGGGAGUGAGGGAGAGGGAGGAGCAAAGACUAACUGUCAGUUCUCAAGAGCCGGCUGGAGCUCUUUCUUUCCCUCCAGUGAGAACAACAUGCCCAGAACCAACAAAACCGAAUUCCAACUGGAGCUGCCGGUGAAAUAUGCUGUCUACAUGGUGGUCACCAGCCAUGGGGUCUCCACUAAAUAUCUCAACUUCACGGCCUCAGAGAAUACCAGUCGGGUCAUGCAGCAUCAAUAUCAGGUCAGCAACCUGGGGCAGAGGAGCCUCCCCAUCAGCCUGGUGUUCUUGGUGCCCGUCCGGCUGAACCAGACUGUCAUAUGGGACCGCCCCCAGGUCACCUUCUCCGAG